rnacentral:rRNA from 1 species
UGCAAGUCGUGCGCGAAAGUCUUCGGACAAGUAAAGCGGCGAAAGGGUGAGUAACACGUAACCAACGUACCCUGCAGAUUGGAAUAACCUCUGGAAACGGUGGGUAAUGCCAAAUGGUCCGUGGGAAGGCAUCUUCCUAACGGUAAACGGCGGCUUCGGCUGCUGCUGCGGGAGCGGGUUGCGGCCUAUCAGCUUGUUGGUGAGGUAACGACUUACCAAGGCUAUGACGGGUAGCGGGUCUGAGAGGAUGAUCCGUCACACUGGGACUGAGACACUGCCCAGACUCCUACGGGAGGCUGCAGUCGAGAAUCUUCCACAAUGGGCGAAAGCCUGAUGGAGCGACACCGCGUGCAGGAUGAAGGCCUUAGGGUUGUAAACUGCUGUCACGCUAUAGGAACCGGCGAUGGUGAAUAGUCAUCGUCCUGACUAAAGCGAGAGGAAGCACCGGCUAACUCCGUGCCAGCAGCCGCGGUAAUACGGAGGGUGCAAGCGUUGUUCGGAUUCACUGGGCAUAAAGAGCAUGUAGGCGGCUCGCUCAGUCAGGUGUGAAAGCCCACGGCCCAACCGUGGAACUGCACCUGAUACUGGCGAGCUCGAGGUCGGAAGGGGUGAGUGGAACUUCAGGUGGAACGGUGAAAUGUAUAGAUAUCUGAAGGAACACCGGUGGCGAAAGCGGCUCACUGGUCCGACUCUGACGCUGAGAUGCGAAAGCUAAGGUAGCGAACGGGAUUAGAUACCCCGGUAGUCUUAGCCGUAAACGAUGGGCACUAGGCAAUGGGCUUACCUAUGAGGUUCAUUGCCGUAGCUAAUGUGUUAAGUGCCCCGCCUGGGGAGUACGCUCGCAAGAGUAAAACUCAAAGGAAUUGACGGGGGAUCACACAAGCGGUGGAGCAUGUUGUUUAAUUCGAAGCAACGCGAA